UACGUAGGGUGCAAGCGUUAAUCGGAAUUACUGGGCGUAAAGCGUGCGCAGGCGGUUUUGUAAGACAGAGGUGAAAUCCCCGGGCUUAACCUGGGAACUGCCUUUGUGACUGCAAGGCUUGAGUGCGGCAGAGGGGGAUGGAAUUCCGCGUGUAGCAGUGAAAUGCGUAGAUAUGCGGAAGAACACCGAUGGCGAAGGCGGCAUUCUGGACCGAUAUUGACGCUGAGGAGCGAAAGCCAGGGGAGCAAACGGG
rnacentral:rRNA from 1 species